GUAGUCAACCAUUUACGAUCCACUGUCCGUCAACUCGUCUAAUUCUGAAGUUUUUAGUAUACUACAAUGUAUGUAGUUACAGGCUAAUUCAUUUUCUCUACUUGUAUUAAAUAGUUGUAUACAAUAUUCCUCACUGUUUUUAUUGUUAUAAAUAAUAAUACAUUAAUAUGUAACUUUAGGCGUUUUUAACGAACUAUUAUUUGCAUACCUUUGGUCAAUAAUUGAUAAUUUAUGAAAGGAAUACGUGUUUGUGAUAAUGUGGCGAAAAAUGCAUGACUAAUUCAUAUGCCGCCAGUCACAAGGGAUGGUUCAAUGAGAGUCUCGCUAAGAUUAACGCUAUAUCAUUGGAAUGCAGAGGUCUUUGUUGAAGCCACCUCCCUAUAUUCUUACUCUAUGCACCUGCCACUCUGGCUGCCUCGACCUGCACGUCGGCUCCUCUCUUCAGUACGAGAACAACAGACGGUGUGGACGUGUGGUUGGUUUACCACACGUCCGCACCACAUCCUGCGAGCGACAUUGGGUCUUUACAUUUUAACGAAAAUAUAUCAGUAUUCUAUUUAUUUUGAUUCGAGUGUCAAGACAACUGCAUAAAUCAAAUACAACUGCGAAUAAGCUUGAUAAACAUUCAACAUAUAAUGGUCCAAAUCCUGUUCGUCGCAACUACCUCCACCACUUUGAAGAUCUCCUAACCUUAAGUUGAAUCCUGGUACAAUAUCGGGAUGGAAUUUUCGCUUAGAGGCACAUCCAUGUGACGACAAAGUGCCCAACGCCAUUAAUUUAAAUCGUUCUUUCGGUUAUUCAAACGGCGGACAAGAUUUUUGGAUUUGUCUUAAGACAGCUUGUAGUCCGGGAUAUGGGCUGUUGGCCGUUUUUGUGGAUUUUCAUGUGAAAACGUCUCUAGUGCAUCGUGAUGGGAAUGUAUAAUGAGGAAGGUGACAGCAAGCAACAUUAUCACACUUGUAACAGACGCCAUCGUGUUGUUGGUUUGACGCGGGGAUGAAGUAAUGUGAACCAUAAAUACAGUAAUUAGAAAAAGUCCGAAAUACAAUUGAAAAUCACAGCAUUCGCAACGAGCGGGCGCGGCGCGUAAGUGAAAAGUGUGUACGGCAAAGAAAAUUACUGUUCGAAAAUCAUGGAGUACAAAAGUUUAAAAUCAAAGCGAUUUGGAUUUGAGUGUUAAGACAACUGCAUAAAUCAAAUCCUACCGCGGUCUGCGAAUAAGUUCUACCGACUGAGCUAGUCGGGCAAUCUGGCAGUUCGACCAUACAGCGUGUUACAUAUACCAGCCUUUAAUAUUGUCAUCCUCUAUGCAUAGAUAGAUAUAUUAGCUUAACUUAGGUUAAGUGUUUUUAUUUUUACUCUAAUUGUAUAAACAUCUAUUAUAUAACCUAUACUAACCUAAUUAUUAUUGAAUUAAAUUAUAAUUUUUUUAAAUAUAUAGGUAUGAUGUAUUGAUGCACAAAAAGUUAUGACUUAACUUGUAUUAACUUAGAUUAGGUUAGGUGUAUUUAUUAUUAUUCUAAUUGUAUAAACAUCUAUUAUAUAACUUAUACUAACUUAAUUAUUCUUAACUUAAAUUAAUCGCAAUUUGUUUUUCACUUUGAUUUUUAACGUUUUGUACUUCCUGAUUUUCAAACAGUAAUUUUCUUCGACGUACACACUUUUCACUUACGCACCGCGCCCGCUCGUUGCGAAUGCUGUAGUUUUUAAUUGUAUUUUGGACUUAUUCUAAUUACUUUAGUUAUGAUUCACAUUACUUCAUCUUCGAGUCAAACCAACAAUACAAUGGCGUCUGUUACAAGUCUGUUAUUGUUGUUUGCAGUCACCUUCCCCAUUAUACAGGCGAUUUCUAUCACGAUGCACCUGAGACGUUUUUCACAUGAAAAAUCACAGGAAAGACCAAAAACCCAGAUUCCACAUCUGUAAGUUGUUUUAAGAAAAAUUCAAGAACCUUGUCUUCCAUAAGGAUCACUGGACGAACGAUUUAAAAUAAUGGCGUUGGGUACUUUGUCGCCGCCGAUAGGUGGAUGUGCCUCUAAGCAAAAUUUCUAUCACGAUAUAUUGUAUUGAGUUCAAUUUAAGGUUGGGCGAUCUUCAAAGUGGAGGUGGUAGUUGUGGAGAACAGGAUUUGGACUACUACAUAAAUUACAACUAUUUAUCCAUAAAUAUAUUAUAAAUAAUACUAAAAUAAACUAUAAAUAUAAACUAAUAAAAUACAAAACAAAAAACACUCAAAUUAGGCAAAUCCAUAUAGAUACGAAAUCAACCAUAGGUAUAUAGAAAGUAAAUACAUAAUAUAUAGAUAUAAAAAGAAUUGGGUAGGCUACUUACAAUUAUUUUAUUAUAAGACAAAUAUCACUAACUAUAUAGCUAAUAAGUUAUAAUAUCAUGUAUUCACUAUUUAUGUAAAAGUAGAAAUUAAGCAAAAAUCACAAUAUUAUUUCAUUAUAUUAUACAAUAAUGUUAAACUUCAAUAAAAUUAUACUACCUAAUAUUUGGAUUCGAGUGUUUAAAACUUUUUAACCUUAUUAAAACAACUGCACAAAUUUAACACAACUGUGAAUAAGGUAAGGUGUAAGAGGAUCAUAUUAUCUAUAUUAAUUUUUAUAAUUAAUUUAUCAAUAUUUUAUUACCACGGCGUACUUGGUCAUAUUCUCGAAUCAUGACCUCGAGAGCCCUCUGACGAUCAAAAGGAAGGUAAUAGCAAAAAUUAAAAUAAUUUAAUACUCAUAUCUAAGACUAUAUUCUCCAGCACAUAUAAGUGUAGGGAAGAGUUCCACAGAUUCAUGCAUUCAUUCAAGGCUUAUGUCCCUUGUGUUUGCCUCACAUUAAAUUUAAUAAACGUACUUAAACUUUCUUAUUAAUUUAAAAUUUAAAUUACUUUAUUAAUUAAUAAUUUAUAUUUUUGUUUUAUUUCUUUUCUUUUCUUUUUGUGUUAUUACAGAUAAUAAUUUUUAAAUGUAGCUUUUGACACAAAGGCCUCAUGAUAAUCAAUUUUUUUUUUUAAAGUAAUACAAAUUUUUAAUUUAACUUAAUGAUAACUCGACAACCUUAUUACUAUAGAUACAGUUAUAAGCUCAAAUGAAAUUCUUCACGAUAUACUUCAUUUACCCUUCAAUUACGUCACCGUCGGACUAUAUAAUCUAUAAUAUAUGUAUACCUCGUCCUAAUACGUAAUACGGUAAUACGUAAGUCUAGACGACAAAUUUAAGGGUUGAUCAGGUAUAUCGGAAUAUACCAGGCAGCAGCUGACCAAUAAGUACGAAUUAUCAAAAAGUAUAGUAUAUUAGUAUAAUGAUCGGCGACGAUAAAAGGUAGAGUAUAAUGGUCGCGAACGAUUAUAGGAAGUGAAACAUAGCACAUUAUAUUGCAGUUAUGUAUCACAUAAGUGGUAUGAACUCAGCGAGUAUAUACAAAAAUUCCGAGUGUAUUAUAAUAUUGCU